rnacentral:rRNA from 1 species
ACAUGCAAGUCGAGCGGAGAUGAGGUGCUUGCACCUUAUCUUAGCGGCGGACGGGUGAGUAAUGCUUAGGAAUCCGCCUAUUAGUGGGGGACAACAUUCCGAAAGGAAUGCUAAUACCGCAUACGUCCUACGGGAGAAAGCAGGGGAUCUUCGGACCUUGCGCUAAUAGAUGAGCCUAAGUCGGAUUAGCUAGUUGGUGGGGUAAAGGCCUACCAAGGCGACGAUCUGUAGCGGGUCUGAGAGGAUGAUCCGCCACACUGGGACUGAGACACGGCCCAGACUCCUACGGGAGGCAGCAGUGGGGAAUAUUGGACAAUGGGGGGAACCCUGAUCCAGCCAUGCCGCGUGUGUGAAGAAGGCCUUAUGGUUGUAAAGCACUUUAAGCGAGGAGGAGGCUACUGAGACUAAUACUCUUGGAUAGUGGACGUUACUCGCAGAAUAAGCACCGGCUAACUCUGUGCCAGCAGCCGCGGUAAUACAGAGGGUGCGAGCGUUAAUCGGAUUUACUGGGCGUAAAGCGUGCGUAGGCGGCUUUUUAAGUCGGGUGUGAAAUCCCCGAGCUUAACUUGGGAAUUGCAUUCGAUACUGGGAAGCUAGAGUAUGGGAGAGGAUGGUAGAAUUCCAGGUGUAGCGGUGAAAUGCGUAGAGAUCUGGAGGAAUACCGAUGGCGAAGGCAGCCAUCUGGCCUAAUACUGACGCUGAGGUACGAAAGCAUGGGGAGCAAACAGGAUUAGAUACCCUGGUAGUCCAUGCCGUAAACGAUGUCUACUAGCCGUUGGGGCCUUUGAGGCUUUAGUGGCGCAGCUAACGCGAUAAGUAGACCGCCUGGGGAGUACGGUCGCAAGACUAAAACUCAAAUGAAUUGGACGGGGGCCCGCACAAGCGGUGGAGCAUGUGG